rnacentral:rRNA from 1 species
CGGUGGAUGCCUAGGCAGUUAGAGGCGAUGAAGGACGUGUAAGUCUGCGAAAAGCUGUGGUGAGCCGACAAAAUGCAUUUGAGCCACAGAUGUCCGAAUGGGGAAACCCAGUGCAUUUAUGCACUAUCUGCAACUGAAUACAUAGGUUGUAGAGGCAAACGAGGGGAACUGAAACAUCUAAGUACCCUUAGGAAAAGAAAUCAACCGAGAUUUCCCUAGUAGCGGCGAGCGAACGGGAAUUAGCCCUUAAGCUAAUUGUAAGCCAGUGGAAUGUGUUGGAAAGCACAACGGUACAAGGUGAUAGUCCUGUACACAAAGGCGAGCUUUAAGUGAAAUCGAGUAGGUCGGGACACGUGUUAUCUUGACUGAAUAUGGGGGGACCAUCCUCCAAGGCUAAAUACUCCUAACUGACCGAUAGUGAACCAGUACCGUGAGGGAAAGGCGAAAAGAACCCCUGUGAGGGGAGUGAAAUAGAACCUGAAACCGUAUACGUACAAGCAGUGGGAGCAGACUUGUUCUGUGACUGCGUACCUUUUGUAUAAUGGGUCAGCGACUUAUAUUUUGUAGCAAGGUUAACCGAAUAGGGGAGCCGUAGUGAAAGCGAGCGUUAACUGCGCGUCUAGUUGCAAGGUAUAGACCCGAAACCCGGUGAUCUAGCCAUGGGCAGGUUGAAGGUUGAGUAACAUCAACUGGAGGACCGAACCCACUGACGUUGAAAAGUCAGGGGAUGACCUGUGGCUGGGGGUGAAAGGCCAAUCAAACCGGGAGAUAGCUGGUUCUCCCCGAAAUCUAUUUAGGUAGAGCCUCGGACGAAUUCCAUUGGGGGUAGAGCACUGUUAAGGCUAGGGGGUCAUCCCGACUUACCAACCCUUUGCAAACUCCGAAUACCCAUGAGUGCUAUCCGGGAGACACACGGCGGGUGCUAACGUCCGUCGUGGAGAGGGAAACAACCCAGACCGCCAGCUAAGGUCCCAAAAUAUUGCUAAGUGGGAAACGAUGUGGGAAGGCUAAGACAGCUAGGAGGUUGGCUUAGAAGCAGCCACCCUUUAAAGAAAGCGUAAUAGCUCACUGGUCGAGAUUGUCCGCGCCGUAAAUAUAACGGGGCUCAAGCAUGCCGCCGAAGCCGUAGACGUUUUCGAACGUGGUAGGGGAGCGUUCC